UGGGGUGUCGUCAAGUGGUUAAGACACGGGACUUUGGAUCCUGGAUCGGGGGUUCGAAUCCUCCCACCCCAGCAA
rnacentral:tRNA from 1 species